ensembl:lncRNA
GUGAGUCCUUCCAGGGAAUCUCUGAACAUGGGGGUGGUCUUGGGGACCCCUGACACAAUGAGUGUGUCUGUGAGUGUGUGUGUGUGUGUGUGUGUGUGUGUAAUUUCUUGCUUUUCAUUUCUGGAAGGUAGUUAUAAUACUUUCAUAAGGAACAAUAAAUAUGCUUUAAAAUUUUGUCGAAUGAAUCACAGCCAUGACGUUAUUUCAGGAGUAAGAUCAUGCUCUUUGCGCAGUAUCGGCAGCGACAAUUUCUGGCAGCUGCUCAGCUGUGUGGCUUCCUUCCUGCUCCCAGCCCCCAGGGCCCCAACAUCCCUCCCGAUGACGAGAUUGUCAGAACUCACCCCCACCUCUCCUCAGCCGCUGGUGGCAGGCAGGAAACGGCUGGGGUGUCCCGGAGGAAGGCCUCGCCCCCGGGAGGGAACCGAAUGUGCGUGCAAUGAAGAGCCAGAACUGCCAGAUACAAAGAUGAGAUUUUCAGCUGCCGAAGAAGGUUCUGGCCUGUCUGCUCAGAGGACGUGUUUGUCAGGAGUUUCCAGACUGGCCCUGGAGGGGAACUCAGAAUUUGUCCGCAGGACGAUGCUGCCUCCCCCUGUGGAAGUCGUGGAUGGACGAGCAAACGGAUAAGAGCGGGAGCAGGCUCUCAUCUCCUGCUGGUGCUUCCCAGUGGCCAAACCAGGAGAGGCACAAGGGCAUGGAGAUCGGCUUCCUGGGCCUGGGACAGAGGAGAAGGGCAGAGAGCGGAUCUGGAGAAUAACCAGCAUGUCCUUGAAUCACAGAUCUGCUGCUUACUAGAUGCGUGCUCUCAGGCCAGAGAGUUACCAUCUCUGAGCCUUGGUUUCCGUAACUGUAAAGUGGGGCGAGUAAUGGUAACUUUCCCAGAGUUAUCCAAACAUUGAAAAAAAUAAUGCACAUUCCUGUUUCCUAUAAUAACCCUGCUGAUUAGGACAGAAGCUUUGGGAAAAGAAAAAGGCUUCCUUUCUUAUGCCAAGAGCUGAAGGUAUAGCAGUUGGGCUGGAAGUGUCAGCAGCCCAAGCUGGAGUCCUUUUUUCCAAAUAAAAAGACCUCCAGGAGCUUCAUAAUAUAGUCCUGAACAAGCCCUGAAUGACCACCCCAUGCUGAAGCAUGGCAACUGUCUCCCUAUUUCGAUGGUUUACAUAAAAUGCAGAGACUAUGAAAAUGUUACUUUAUGCGGCUUUGGCUGCAUAUUAUGUGAAGACUGUUGGAGAAUCAGCAAAAUGUCUGUUCCACAGCUUGUUCCCAUCAUUGUCCUCAGUGAAAGACUCCAGCUCAUUCCCAGGUGUACAUACCAGAAUCCCAGGAGGCAUCCGUGACCCCAUUCCUUCACCCUAUGUCCUGCUCAUCACCACGUCCUGUCGAUUUCAUAAAAGCAGCUCACUUCCAUUUUCAUGACUCUGGUCCAAGCCCUGCCAUCCUUCACCUCCUCACUGCUUUCCACUCUUCCCAUCUGUUGUCCAUACAGCUGCCAGGGUGAUCUUUUUGAAACCCAAAUCUUAGCAUGUCAGUCCUGUUGAAAGCUUUUAAUCACUUCCCAUUGCUCUGAGAAUGUGGUCCUAAAGGCCUCUCAUGAGCCAGCUGUUCACAUCUGUGGCUGCCUCUCCUGGCCUGCUCUGCUCGACUACCACUGGUUUCCUUUCGAUUCCC